CCUACGGGAGGCUGCAGUGGGGAAUAUUGGGCAAUGGGCGCAAGCCUGACCCAGCAACGCCGCGUGAAGGAAGAAGGCUCUCGGGUUGUAAACUUCUUUUAUCAGGGACGAAGCAAGUGACGGUACCUGAUGAAUAAGCCACGGCUAACUACGUGCCAGCAGCCGCGGUAAUACGUAGGUGGCAAGCGUUAUCCGGAUUUACUGGGUGUAAAGGGCGUGUAGGCGGGAAAGCAAGUCAGAUGUGAAAACCAUGGGCUCAACCUGUGGCCUGCAUUUGAAACUGUUUUUCUUGAGUACUGGAGAGGCAGACGGAAUUCCUAGUGUAGCGGUGAAAUGCGUAGAUAUUAGGAGGAACACCAGUGGCGAAGGCGGUCUGCUGGCACAUAACUGACGCUGAGGAGCGAAAGCGUGGGUAGCAAACAGGAUUAGAUACCCCUGUAGUC
rnacentral:rRNA from 1 species